rnacentral:rRNA from 1 species
GAUGAACGCUAGCUACAGGCUUAACACAUGCAAGUCGAGGGGCAGCAUGGAAGAAGCUUGCUUCUUCUGAUGGCGACCGGCGCACGGGUGCGUAACGCGUAUCAAACCUGCCUCAUACUCGGGGAUAGCCUUGCGAAAGUAAGAUUAAUACCCGAUGUUGUUAUGUUUCCGCAUGGUGAUAUAACCAAAGAUUUAUCGGUAUGAGAUGGUGAUGCGUCCGAUUAGGUAGUAGGCGGGGUAACGGCCCACCUAGCCAUCGAUCGGUAGGGGUUCUGAGAGGAAGGUCCCCCACACUGGAACUGAGACACGGUCCAGACUCCUACGGGAGGCAGCAGUGAGGAAUAUUGGUCAAUGGACGGAAGUCUGAACCAGCCAAGUAGCGUGCAGGAUGACGGCCCUCCGGGUUGUAAACUGCUUUUAGUUGGGAAUAAAAAGAGGGACGUGUCCCUAAUUGUAUGUACCUUCAGAAAAAGGACCGGCUAAUUCCGUGCCAGCAGCCGCGGUAAUACGGAAGGUCCAGGCGUUAUCCGGAUUUAUUGGGUUUAAAGGGAGCGUAGGCGGAUUAUUAAGUCAGUGGUGAAAGACGGUGGCUCAACCAUCGUUAGCCAUUGAAACUGGUAGUCUUGAGUGCAGACAGGGAUGCUGGAACUCGUGGUGUAGCGGUGAAAUGCUUAGAUAUCACGAUGAACUCCGAUCGCGAAGGCGGUGUCCGGGCUGCAACUGACGCUGAGGCUCGAAAGUGUGGGUAUCAAACAGG